CAUCUCUACACUCUAACCACUAGGCUACCCUGCCACCUCUACACUCUAACCACUAGGCUACCCUGCCACCUCUACACUCUAACCACUAGGCUACCCUGCCACCUCUACACUACCCUGCCGCCCCAAGUCAGUUUUUAUAUAUCGUCCUGUCUGAGUUUCCAGGUGUUUUCCAGAAAUCCUGGUUGGAAGAUUCCUAGAAUCACAUGUUUUUAUGUAAUGAAUCUGCCACAAAGUCAUAAAAUCAAGUCAUUUUUUUUAACCUUAACCACACUGAUCACCCUAAUGCCUAACCUUAAAUUAGAUCAAAAAGCACUUUUGUUUCUUGUUUAACAGGAAUUUUUACAAUAUAGCACAUUUUGACAUUGCAGCUCUCCCAUCUAGGCAAGUUGACAAUUAUUGGGAUGAGUCUUGUCCUUGAGGCAGAACAGAGCCAUUUCUGCUAGAUGGGCCAGCUGCAAAGUCAAAAUUGGCUACAUUCAUGAAAACAAAUGUGCUUAUUUGGUCUUAAUUUGAAGUUAGGGUUCAAAUCUGAUUUUGUGGCUAUGCCAGAUAGUGACCACUGUGCAGAUCUGCCUCCAGAACAAGAUUCAUGGUGAAAAACGCCAACCUUACCCCAUCGAGCAGAAAUGGCUCAGUUCUGCCUCCAGAACAAGAUUCAUGGUGAAAAACGCCAACCUGUUGAAAGGUACUGGAAUUUUGCAGCCCAUAUUUCCUCUGGUUGAACUGAUGGAGUCAAUCAUCCUGAAGGCUCAAUACCCUUGUGAACUCUGAUAUGAGUAUUGAUUGAUUGAUAUUGAUUGAUUGAUACUGAUUACUACUGCCUUUUUAGCAUUUUCUCCAUAAGACAUACUUCCAAUCCAACCAAUGACCAGCCCUUUAUCUCCCAGUGAAUGAUCUGUGAGCGGAGGAACUGUGUAGCUAGCUGAUCUAGAAACUCACGUCUUAGUGAAAACACGUCUUACUCUCUCUCUCUCUCUAUCGUCCUCCACUACAUUCAUUAGUCUCUCUCUCUCUCUCUCUCUCUCUCUCUCUCUCUCUCUCUCUAUCUCUCUCUCUCUCUCUAUCGUCCUCCACUACUUGUGUCCAGUUAAGCUGAAAAUGUAAACAUUGGUUGAGUUGUUUUGAGUACAGUAAUACAUUACCCACAAUUCCGUCCAUGGAAAUUAUUUUUCACUAGGGUUGCACAUUUCUGGUAACUUUCCUAAAAAAAAAUCCAUCCCUGAUUUAUCUAGAAAUCUUGGUUAAAAAGGUUUCAGGAAAAAACAGGAUAUCCUCCAACCAGGAUUUCUGGGAAUUUGGGGAAAUGUACUGUACAUUUGAAACCUUAGUCUCCCCUGUAUUUGAUAUUUGGUUAUAUAUAUUUGAUAUGGAUCAGGGGAAGAACACAACUAAAUUCCAAUAGGCCUCAUUCCUCCAGCUACGGUAAUGAGCCUAAAUACUCUACCUCUUCAUUUGCCAUUCAUUGACAGUAUGACAUAAAAUCCUCUUUUCUUUCUAUUUUGUUUUUGUUGUUGUAAUUCUUUCCGAAAGACUGCUCUUUAGUCGAGCACAUGUGGUUCCUAUGUUUAGUGUCUGUACCUAACUUAAAUGAAUAAAGUGAUUUUAGAUUAUAA